GAUGAACGCUGGUGGCGUGCCUAAUACAUGCAAGUCGAGCGAACAGGCGAGGAGCUUGCUCCUCUGACGUUAGCGGCGGACGGGUGAGUAACACGUGGAUAACCUACCUAUAAGACUGGGAUAACUUCGGGAAACCGGAGCUAAUACCGGAUAAUAUAUUGAACCGCAUGGUUCAAUAGUGAAAGACGGUUUUGCUGUCACUUAUAGAUGGAUCCGCGCCGCAUUAGCUAGUUGGUAAGGUAACGGCUUACCAAGGCAACGAUGCGUAGCCGACCUGAGAGGGUGAUCGGCCACACUGGAACUGAGACACGGUCCAGACUCCUACGGGAGGCAGCAGUAGGGAAUCUUCCGCAAUGGGCGAAAGCCUGACGGAGCAACGCCGCGUGAGUGAUGAAGGUCUUCGGAUCGUAAAACUCUGUUAUUAGGGAAGAACAAAUGUGUAAGUAACUAUGCACGUCUUGACGGUACCUAAUCAGAAAGCCACGGCUAACUACGUG
rnacentral:rRNA from 1 species